UCACCCUCCUGCCAGGGGUUGAAGUCAGGAAGUAGUUUAUUUUCGCUGAAACUGAAGGGGGAAGUUAAAGAGAAAAAUAGCUGCAACUUGGUCAAUUCAGGAAAACCAGGGAUAUUCUGAGGGACUCACAGGAUCAGAGCUGCGACACUUCUAACAUAUGAAUUCUCUCAAUUCUGAUGCCCUUUGACCUCUGCCACACAAUGCCAAGACAAACCCAGACCCCAGGCCCUGGAAACAGAGGAGGGGCAGGGACCACCUUCCCCCCCCCACAGAAUUUAUAGGAGAACACAAAUAUAGAUUAAAACAUCUUAUAUUUUUAAGAAUUCAGUUGACUUUACAUACAAUUCCCUCCAUUUUCUUUUUCUUUUAUUUUUACUUCAAGUACAAAUAUUUACAUAUCUGAAGGCACUGAACUUAUUUUGUGCAAUCAAGACAUAUAUUGUUUCAAACCAAUGUGUCUCCAAGGGGAUGGAGGUAUUCUUGAAAUGUCAUUAAUGUGACUUUUCUAGUGUCACACCUUAUUUAUAUUAUUUAUAAAUGAGAAGAAUAGUAUUGCUACUUGUUUUAAAAGUGACAGAAACCACAGACCAGAAAUCCUUCCUUUAAUCCUUCCCACUUGCUCACUGACAUAGGGAAAGGCUUCAGUCAUUUUCAGCUUUUAUCCUUUUCUCCCACUUGUAAAUUGGGUGCAUUUCUAUUCUUACACUUUCUCCUUCUCCAUCAAAUUCCAAAGUGGAAUACAAGAAGGAAACUUACUAAUACCAUAGUUUGGGGGCAGGAAUUAUGCUCAGUGAGGAGUGGAUAUAUUGGGCACGUAGGCAUUUCUAGUACUUUUCUCUAUUUUCUCAUUAAAUUCCUUUUACUCUGCUGAAGUCAAUCUCUUUGAGGGAAAUUCUAGGUCUCAGGAGACAGAGCUUAGGUUUUCAUGCCAGAGAUGCCUGCCCUAGAGUCUCAGAGACACCUAUUUACCCUCUUUCCUCAUCUUUAAAAUGAAGGUACAAUACUUAUUUCACAGCACUUUUACAAGCACCAAAUGCAAUAAACAUCCUAACUAUCUGGACUGCAAAACUGGCCCUCACUCAAGGCAAGAACUUAAAUAAUGUUGACAUGGACAAGAGACAGGGAAAUACUGGGUAGAAGGGCGGUUCUCCAGCAAAGGCCCCAUCCUCAAGCCUGGAAUCCCACAGCCCUGAAUAAGAAUAGGCAUUCUUGUUUUCACACCCAAAAGUUGCCUUUUGGCCUGCCACACCCCCUUCCUGUACUCAUAUAAACCCCAGACCCCAGGCUCCCGAAGAAGAUGAGGAGACAAACAGAAAAGCAAAAGACCAGCAGAAUAGUGCGGCAGAGAGAAGAGAAGGAACGUUUGAAUGUUGAGAGGAAUUCAGCUGGGGGUGAUAAGAGAGGGGAUCGGCUGUGGGACAGCCAAACUCCAGGGGAAGAUCAUCUUCCUACUCCAUCCCCCUUCCAGCUCCCCAUCCAUCCUGCUGAGAGCCACCUCCACCACUCAAUAAAACCCCUACAUUCAUCCUUCAAGUCCAUGUAUGACCUAAUUUUUUCUGGAUGCCAGACAAGGACUUGGGUACCAAGAGGGUCCACUGAGCUGUCUAACACUUAAGCUGUCUGUGGACAGCAAGGCUAAAAUAGCACACUGUAACCGGUCCCCACCUAGGCUUCAGGAGUCACAGACAUGCACCCCUAGACACAACCAUGGGGCCAGAGCCCAAAAAGAACUUGCCCUGGCUCCUGCACCUGCCCAUCUGCAUGCUCCUCCUCCCAUAAGGGGUUUGAGCACAUGGCGGCCACACACAAGCCACACCCCUGUCGCAUGUGCUGCAAGGGGGGUCAGGGAACUCUCCCAUUUCAAUGAUGACUUUGUUAAAUGGUCCAUAAGGGCUAUCCCCCCACACCUCUACCACACCAUGCCCCAUCUGUUUUCUUCCAG
rnacentral:lncRNA from 1 species